rnacentral:tRNA from 1 species
CUUUAGAUUGCUAAUCUAAUGUACGUCGUAAGAUGUACCGUGGGUUCGAAUCCCAUCCUCUCCU